UCGAACGAACUCUGGUAUUGAUUGGUGCUUGCAUCAUGAUUUACAUUUGAGUGAGUGGCGAACUGGUGAGUAACACGUGGGAAACCUGCCCAGAAGCGGGGGAUAACACCUGGAAACAGAUGCUAAUACCGCAUAACAACUUGGACCGCAUGGUCCGAGCUUGAAAGAUGGCUUCGGCUAUCACUUUUGGAUGGUCCCGCGGCGUAUUAGCUAGAUGGUGGGGUAAUGGCUCACCAUGGCAAUGAUACGUAGCCGACCUGAGAGGGUAAUCGGCCACAUUGGGACUGAGACACGGCCCAAACUCCUACGGGAGGCAGCAGUAGGGAAUCUUCCACAAUGGACGAAAGUCUGAUGGAGCAACGCCGCGUGAGUGAAGAAGGGUUUCGGCUCGUAAAACUCUGUUGUUAAAGAAGAACAUAUCUGAGAGUAACUGUUCAGGUAUUGACGGUAUUUAACCAGAAAGCCACGGCUAACUACGUGCCAGCAGCCGCGGUAAUACGUAGGUGGCAAGCGUUGUCCGGAUUUAUUGGGCGUAAAGCGAGCGCAGGCGGUUUUUUAAGUCUGAUGUGAAAGCCUUCGGCUCAACCGAAGAAGUGCAUCGGAAACUGGGAAACUUGAGUGCAGAAGAGGACAGUGGAACUCCAUGUGUAGCGGUGAAAUGCGUAGAUAUAUGGAAGAACACCAGUGGCGAAGGCGGCUGUCUGGUCUGUAACUGACGCUGAGGCUCGAAAGUAUGGGUAGCAAACAGGAUUAGAUACCCUGGUAGUCCAUACCGUAAACGAUGAAUGCUAAGUGUUGGAGGGUUUCCGCCCUUCAGUGCUGCAGCUAACGCAUUAAGCAUUCCGCCUGGGGAGUACGGCCGCAAGGCUGAAACUCAAAGGAAUUGACGGGGGCCCGCACAAGCGGUGGAGCAUGUGGUUUAAUUCGAAGCUACGCGAAGAACCUUACCAGGUCUUGACAUACUAUGCAAAUCUAAGAGAUUAGACGUUCCCUUCGGGGACAUGGAUACAGGUGGUGCAUGGUUGUCGUCAGCUCGUGUCGUGAGAUGUUGGGUUAAGUCCCGCAACGAGCGCAACCCUUAUUAUCAGUUGCCAGCAUUAAGUUGGGCACUCUGGUGAGACUGCCGGUGACAAACCGGAGGAAGGUGGGGAUGACGUCAAAUCAUCAUGCCCCUUAUGACCUGGGCUACACACGUGCUACAAUGGAUGGUACAACGAGUUGCGAACUCGCGAGAGUAAGCUAAUCUCUUAAAGCCAUUCUCAGUUCGGAUUGUAGGCUGCAACUCGCCUACAUGAAGUCGGAAUCGCUAGUAAUCGCGGAUCAGCAUGCCGCGGUGAAUACGUUCCCGGGCCUUGUACACACCGCCCGUCACACCAUGAGAGUUUGUAACACCCAAAGUCGGUGGGGUAACC
rnacentral:rRNA from 1 species